AGAUUGAACGCUGGCGGCAGGCCUAACACAUGCAAGUCGAGCGGUAGAGAGGUGCUUGCAUCUCCUGAGAGCGGCGGACGGGUGAGUAAUGCCUAGGAAUCUGCCUAGUGGUGGGGGAUAACGUUCGGAAACGGACGCUAAUACCGCAUACGUCCUACGGGAGAAAGCGGGGGACCUUCGGGCCUCGCGCCAUUAGAUGAGCCUAGGUCGGAUUAGCUAGUUGGUGAGGUAAUGGCUCACCAAGGCGACGAUCCGUAACUGGUCUGAGAGGAUGAUCAGUCACACUGGAACUGAGACACGGUCCAGACUCCUACGGGAGCAGCAGUAGGGAAUAUUGGACAAUGGGCGCAAGCCUG
rnacentral:rRNA from 1 species